rnacentral:lncRNA from 1 species
CUCUAAACGAGAGGAAGGAAAAGAGUAGAAAGCGGAGCGGGAAAGAAGCAAAGCGCAGGACGCUCUUCAGGUGUUUCCAACGUUUGGGGAGGGGGUUCCGGAGGGCCGCAGCAGGAUACGGUAGAGUAAGUGAUGCGAGCAGGUGGGGGAUGCGCAUGCGCAGGACCUCCGCAAUGCCCUUGCGCACCUGCCUAGCUUGCCGGUUUCCUGGGCCUAGAAGGCAGACCAGGCCUCCGGGAGGAGUGGAGUUUCCGAAAAUCAAAGAAAAACCCAGGAGCAACGUGGACUCCGCCAAGGAGGGUUAUAUGAAAGGGCUCAGCAGAGCUACAAGAAAGAUCCAAAGGACCUUGAAAGAUACACGUGGAGGGACUUGGAGACAAUUAUGGUGACAGAAAAGAGCCUUGCUUUACGAGCUGGAUAAAACAUCGAAGAACUAACUGCUCUGAAUUCCUUCAAAGCUUCAGAAUUAUUUCUCUGACACUUCACUCCUCGGUCUGGUUAACAUUAUAAAGACUCAUCAUAAGAGAUCUCAUCUGGACCCAGCAGUUUCAGUUCUAGGGGGAAAAAAAAUUCUGCUCAUGUACAUAAGACAGCAGAUAUAAGUACAGCAAGGAGUUCCCGUUGUGGCUCAGUGGAAAUGAAUUUGACUAGGAACCAUGAGGUUUCGGGUUUGAUCCCUGGCCUCGCUCAGUGGGUUAAGGAUCCGGUGUUGCCCUGAGCUGUGAUAUAGUUCGCAGAGGAGACUCAGAUCUGGCGUUGCUGUGGCUUUGGUGUAGGCCAGCAGAUGCAGCUCCAAUUUUUGACCCCUAGCCUGGGAACCUCUGUGUGCUGCAAGUGUGGCCCCAAAAAGACCGGGAAAAAAAAAAAGUAAGUACAGCAAUACUUUCAUAGGGAAACACCUUAAAGAGGCAGAACAGCUCAGGCCUUAGAAUGAAGACCCUAAUGUGACGGAUCAUCUGGGUUUGAAUCCUGGUUCCACCAGUUAUCAGCUGUGUGGCCGUG